rnacentral:rRNA from 1 species
UGGGGAAUAUUGGACAAUGGGCGAAAGCCUGAUCCAGCCAUGCUGCGUGUGUGAAGAAGGUCUUCGGAUUGUAAAGCACUUUAAGUUGGGAGGAAGGGCAGUAAGCGAAUACCUUGCUGUUUUGACGUUACCGACAGAAUAAGCACCGGCUAACUCUGUGCCAGCAGCCGCGGUAAUACAGAGGGUGCAAGCGUUAAUCGGAAUUACUGGGCGUAAAGCGCGCGUAGGUGGUUCGUUAAGUUGAAUGUGAAAGCCCCGGGCUCAACCUGGGAACUGCAUCCAAAACUGGCGAGCUAGAGUAGGGCAGAGGGUGGUGGAAUUUCCUGUGUAGCGGUGAAAUGCGUAGAUAUAGGAAGGAGCACCAGUGGCGAAGGCGACCACCUGGGCUCAUACUGACACUGAGGUGCGAAAGCGUGGGGAGCAAACAGG